rnacentral:antisense_RNA from 1 species
UCAGGUGAUCCUCCCAUCUCAUCCUCCCAAGUAGCUGGGACUACAGGUUGCCUCUUCCAGAUCCCUUUUGAUCUAUUUUCAGCUAUGGAUUCUUGAGAAUCAAGACUAAGCAGCCUGAAAUGAAGGAGUAAGAGUAUCACCUAACAGUGAUUUUGCUGCCAUAGUAGCUGUUUGUAUACUGGCCAUAUGCCUAGGUAAAAUGAGGCCAGAUCACUCUAAGAGUUUUCUAUCAGAGUUGGUGGUGAACUACUGCUCACUGAUAAUGACGAGAAACCCCAGCUGAGGAGGCAAAUACACUCAAGGAAAGUAAUAGUUUCCAAAUGCCUGGCAGUGCCAGGAAGGGGCCAUGUCCGUGGACCACUAUGUAAGGAUAUCUCAGUCUCUAGUCAAGCAUGGUUUAUGGUGCCAAAUAAGUGCCAGGUGAACUCACUACAUCUGACAAAAUCUCAAGGAACCAAGUUUACCAGAUAAUAUUUAUGAUUAUGUGAAAAAGACUGAGGAAAUCACUCUAGUGAUCCAUCAUACAGCACCUCCAGUUCCAAAGAAUACUGACUUACUUCAGGUGAUAACACUCUACCAUUUUUAAGUUUUUCAUCCACACUGUGUUUUUGUUUCUGGAGCUGAUCCUUUUCUUUCUGGAGGACUUCAACUUGUUCUGAAAUCUUUGUUUUCUCCUCAGCUGUACUGGUCUGGAGCUGCACAUUCUUUUCAGACAACUCUUGUUCCAAUAAGUUCAGGUGACUCUUCUCCUGUAACAGAGCCUCCUUCUUAGAAACUAUGGCCUCCCGUUUCUUUAAGUCUUCUUCCAGCUCCUCUAAUUCUUGGCGUUGGU